GAUGAACGCUGGCGGCGUGCCUAAUACAUGCAAGUCGAGCGAACGGACGAGAAGCUUGCUUCUCUGAUGUUAGCGGCGGACGGGUGAGUAACACGUGGAUAACCUACCUAUAAGACUUGGAUAACUUCGGGAAACCGGAGCUAAUACCGGAUAAUAUUUUGAACCGCAUUGUUCAAAAGUGAAAGACGGUCUUGCUGUCACUUAUAGAUGGAUCCGCGCUGCAUUAGCUAGUUGGUAAGGUAACGGCUUACCAAGGCAACGAUGCAUAGCCGACCUGAGAGGGGGAUCGGCCACCCUGGAGCUGAGCCGCGGUCCAGACUCCUACGGGAGGCAGCAGUCGGGAAUGUGACGCAGUGGGCGAAAGCCUGACGGAGCAACGCCGCGUGAGUAAUGACGGUCUUCGGAUCGUAAAACUCUGUUAUUAGGGAAGAACAUAUGUGUAAGUAACUGUGCACAUCUUGACGGUACCUAAACAGAAAGCCACGGCUAACUACGUG
rnacentral:rRNA from 1 species